ACUACGGGAGGCUGCAGUGAGGAAUAUUGGUCAAUGGGCGGAAGCCUGAACCAGCCAAGUAGCGUGCAGGAUGACUGCCCUACGGGUUGUAAACUUCUUUUAUACGGGAAUAACGCGCCUUACGUGUAGGUCUUUGCAUGUACCGUAUGAAUAAGGACCGGCUAAUUCCGUGCCAGCAGCCGCGGUAAUACGGAGGGUCCGGGCGUUAUCCGGAUUUAUUGGGUUUAAAGGGAGCGUAGGCGGCAUGUCAAGCGUGCUGUGAAAUGUUCGGGCUCAACCCUGGCCUUGCAGGGGAAACUGGCGUGCUUGAGUGCGCGUGAGGUAGGCGGAAUUCGUGGUGUAGCGGUGAAAUGCUUAGAUAUGACGAAGAACCCCGAUUGCGAAGGCAGCUUGCUGCAGCGGAACUGACGCUGAUGCUCGAAAGUGUGGGUAUCGAACAGGAUUAGAUACCCGGGUAGUC
rnacentral:rRNA from 1 species